rnacentral:rRNA from 1 species
UACGUAGGAGGCAAGCGUUGUCCGGAGUUACUGGGCGUAAAGCGCACGCAGGCGGUUCAGUCAGUCUGUAGGGACAGGGCACAGCUCAACUGUGUCAGGCUUACGGAAACUGCUGAACUUGAGGGCCUCAGAGGGAUGGGGAAUUCCGGGUGGAGUGGUGAAAUGCGUAGAGAUCCGGAAGAACACCAAAGGCGAAGGCACCAUCCUGGGGAGUCACUGACGCUCGGGUGCGAAAGCUAGGGGAGCGAACGGG